CCCUUAGAUGUCCUGGGCCGCACGCGCGUUACACUGAUGCAUUCAACGAGCUUAUAACCUUGGCCGAGAGGCCUGGGCAAUCUUGUUAACGUGCAUCGUGAUAGGGAUAGAUUAUUGAAAUUAUUAAUCUUGAACGAGGAAUUCCUAGUAAACGCAGAUCAUCAAUCUGCAUUGAUUACGUCCCUGCCCUUUGUACACACCGCCCGUCGCACCUACCGAUUGGAUGGUCCGGUGAAGCCUCGGGAUUGUGGUUCUUGCCGCUUUAUUGUGGCGUGACCGCGAGAACUUGUCUAAACCUUAUCAGCUAGAGGAAGGUGAAGUCGUAAAA
rnacentral:rRNA from 1 species